rnacentral:rRNA from 1 species
GAUGAACGUUGGCGGCGUGCCUAAUACAUGCAAGUCGAACGAAGACUGUAGUAAUACUGUCUUAGUGGCGAACGGGGUGAGUAACGCGUGGGUGACCUGCCCCGAAGUGUGGGAUAACAGUCCGAAAGGAUUGCUAAUACUGCAUAAUAUCCAAGAGAUUAGAUGCUUUUGGAUUAAAGGAGUAAUUCGCUUCGGGAGGGGCCCGCGUCCCAUCAGCUAGUUGGUAAGGUAAUGGCUUACCAAGGCGAUGACGGGUAGGGGACCUGAGAGGGUGGCCCCCCACAAUGGAACUGAAACACGGUCCAUACACCUACGGGUGGCAGCAGUAGGGAAUAUUAGUAAUGGGCGAAAGCCUGAACUAGCAACGCCGCGUGUGCGAAGAAGGCCUUCGGGUCGUAAAGCACUUUUUGCAGGGAAGAGGAAGGACGGUACCUGCAGAAUAAGUCUCGGCUAACUACGUG